CGGGGUGGAGCAGCCUGGUAGCUCGCAAGGCUCAUAACCUAGGUCAACGAUUCAAAUCUGUUCCCAACCA
rnacentral:tRNA from 1 species